UCUACCACCCUCGCUCUCUUUCCACUGCACUCGCUCCUUGUAUCAGGUGAUCGGGUUAAUUGGGAACCCACCUGCACAUUGAUUGCAGGGUGGCGCUAGCCUGUAUAAAGCUAAGCCGAUGUCUUGUUGGAUUAAUUCCUCCCGAGCUUCUGGUACGAUACAGCAGUAAAUGCUGGCGUACUGCGACGGAUUGAUCAGCAAGAGCCGAUUAUACGACAGCUACAGCGCAGCAGUCUGUUUAAUUCUGCCAUUGCGGAGAGAGGUGUUCGUGGUAUCUCCACCAAUGAGAGUAUAGUGCCUCCGGUCCUGGGGGUUCACUGCUGUACUCACCUCUCCAUGGUAAAUUGUCCAACCUAAAUUGGAAGAGUGGACUGCCUUCUCAGUUGCUGUUGUGAACUCCUCCUUGGUGGAGUCUGCUG